AUGAAAAUCGUGAGCUGGAACUGCCGGGGGCUCGGGAACGGCCCGGCAGUUCGUUCUCUUCUCGAUCUGGGAAGAGUGGAGGAACUCGAUGUUUUGUUUUUGUGUGAAACUAGACUGGAGGAGAAGGAGCUGGACCGGUUUAGAUGGAUGCUUGGACUCGUUCACAUGUGCUCAUGGAAGGGGGAAGGAAGGAGUCGGGGAGUAGCAAUAUUUUGGGGAAAGGAGGUGGAUGUGACUCUGCGUUCGUUUGGGAGGAGGCAUAUUGAUGUCGAUGUGAAGAUGGAUGAUGGGCUGGUG
rnacentral:rRNA from 1 species